rnacentral:rRNA from 1 species
CCUACGGGUGGCAGCAGUGGGGGAUAUUGCACAAUGGGGGGAACCCUGAUGCAGCGACGCCGCGUGGGUGAAGAAGCGCCUCGGCGCGUAAAGCCCUGUCAGCAGGGAAGAAAAUGACGGUACCUGAAGAAGAAGCCCCGGCUAACUACGUGCCAGCAGCCGCGGUAAUACGUAGGGGGCAAGCGUUAUCCGGAUUUACUGGGUGUAAAGGGAGCGUAGGUGGCAUGGCAAGCCAGAAGUGAAAACCCGGGGCUUAACCCCGCGGAUUGCUUUUGGAACUGUCAGGCUGGAGUGCAGGAGGGGCAGGCGGAAUUCCUGGUGUAGCGGUGAAAUGCGUAGAUAUCAGGAGGAACACCGGUGGCGAAGGCGGCCUGCUGGACUGUAACUGACACUGAGGCUCGAAAGCGUGGGGAGCAAACAGGAUUAGAUACCCGAGUAGUC